ensembl:lncRNA
UAAGGAAUAUUAAUUUUAAGGCACAGGGGAUGAAGGAUUUUGCAGUUCCAGUGAAAUACUGUCAACCUCAUUGGGUAACCUCCCUUCCUCCAUGUGGUCUGUGAGAACGAGGGGCAUGCAUGCCCUGACGUGGGGUCGUUGGCAGCACUAUAGGUGAGGAGUGCAGCAUGCUGUCAUAGAAAUGGACAGGAACAGGAGGCCAGCCCUUAUGAGGCCAUCACCUGCAACAGCAGCUAGGCUCUUGCCUGCAGCUAUCUCCCCAACCCCUACCCCGGGUGUGGGAGAGGGAGGGGGCCAGGGAGUUGGGGUACCUCACACCCCCUUCAGGCUCAGCUUCAGCCAGGCUGUUCAGGGAGCUGUUGGACUCUCCCAGUGAAGCGCCUGGCAAACUGAACUCAUCAGAGCCAACCCAGGGGGCGAACAGGUUCCCAGCCAAGACACAGAGUCUGGCCUCCCCCCCCCCGCCCAACCGUCCGCCUAAGAAGCAACCCUCCCCCACCGGCGGGGCCGCUGAAACCGUUGGUGUUUAGAACGUUCCGAACGUUCUAUUACCUGUCGCCGAGGGUGGUUCAAUCCAGUUGCCCCACCCCCUCCCCCUGUCCUGGGCCGGGCGUACGUAUCUGCGUGUAUACGUCACUACUCCGCACAGCCACCGCAGGUAACGCUACUGCUGCGGCAGCCACCUUCCCGGGAAAUACCUCCCCUCCCUCUCACGGGGGCGAGCCGCUCUCACCCUUAGUCACGCACCGGGAGAGCAGCGUCUCACCCGGAUGUGGCUUUCAUGCUGCUCCGCCCCUGCCGGUCACGUGGGGUUGCGAGUGCGGCUCCAGGUCCCGCGCGCGUUCUGAGCCGGCUGGAACUGGCGGGCCCAGGGAAGCGACGGGCUGUACCUGGGGCGCGCGGACAGCCCCUCCCCAGGCGCCGUCUGCUGAUGACGGGCAGCCGCUGCCUGCGGGGCCCGCUAAGGCGGGGUUCAGUCGACGCCUGGGCGCCUCCGAGGAGGCUGCCCACGAGGCCGGUGGGAUGCGGGCACUGGGCUCCAUCAAGCAGCACUCUUGGCAGGAAGCCUGUAGGCAGUUGCAGAAAAGGGGUCAGGGACCCAACCAACCCACACUGGAAAAGGGGUGAUCUAAAGAAUCAUGCCAAUGUAGUUUACACAGUGGCUGCAAGGAGCAGAGGUGCCCGCAUGAUUGCAUGCUGCAACCAGUGCUUUGAAAAGGACACUUUCAUUGUUUCAAAUGGUGUGGUAUCCAUGAAGAAAGAAGACUGAUCAGUGAGCUCAAACCAUCUCUGUGAGAUAGAAUUAUAUCCAGGACUGCCAACUAUGUUCAUAGUUGUGUCCACCCCAGAGACACAUGGAUAUGUGUCAUCUGUCUUGCAAAAUCCAUUGCUACACUUGGUGAUUUUGCAAGCUACAUGCACACAACUGAGAGCAAGACUGAGCAGUGUUUGGGUAUCAUGACUUAUCAGUCUGAAGUUUCUUAACAUUCAGUUGCAGAUAAUGUUUGCAAACUCAUUCUACGUAAGAAGUUUAGUCAUUCAUUAUUAUUUUCCUUGGCAAAGGAGCAGAAAUCCCCUUCCUGAAAACUCUUUACAUCCUCAUAUGUACUAUGUUGGUAAACUUAACAGAUUAAUCAGCAUGACUGUACAUUCUUCAACUUUAAAAUAUUUUAUAAAAAAAUUACAUAAAUACUUGUCUAUUAGGUUACCAACAACUUCAGAUUCCUUUAGCUUUAUGCUUUAAUAUAGUAUUUGGCAAAUUCAAAUUUUCUUUAAUUUCAACAGGUAAUAUAGAUGUUUAUUUUUAAGCAUUUAAAAUUACCUAUUUUAAUGUUCACAGUUGAAUAAAGCUAUUUUAACUCCUUUCUUUUAUUUUGCA